AUGCUCGAGGAAUUCUGCCAGAACUUCGAAGAGGAGACCAGUCGAGUGGAGACAGACUUGGACCCCAUCAAUUCUCCAGUGAAGGACGAGGCUGCUAUGAACGUGCUCCGACUGGAAUCUCGUGUUGCCGGCGUUGUUGACUAUCUUGCUCGGUUGAAGGUUGCGAUGUCAUGGAUCGACACAUUGCUCUGGCCUAGGACGACGCUUCAGAAUGACCUCGAGUCCCUGAUGACUCGACUGAAAGAAGUCCCAGGUCGAGUGGCGGAAUGGAAGAAAUCUUCUGCUAGAUGUGGCGCUGACGUCGCUCUAUCUCUGGUCCGCGUCCACUGCAAGGAGGCGCGAGAAGAAAAGUUGGCUGCCAUCCAAGUUGCCAAUAGCAGGAAGCACAACUUUCAAGACUUCAUGGAGACUUUCAUUGCUGCUGCCACUCGCAUUGCAGACGGGAUCGACUCGGACGAGUUCGUCGCCCCUUCCAGUCCUCCGCAUGAGGAAUAA
rnacentral:rRNA from 1 species